rnacentral:tRNA from 1 species
GUUAAGGUAGCACAGCCGGGACCUGCAAAAGGCCUAAGCCCUUUCUACAGAGGUUCAAAUCCUCUCCUUAACC